AGGAACAUUUCUUCUCUACGUUCAGCAAGUUUUCAUGAAGGUGAGAUUUCUAGUUCUCUCGGCAAAUUGUAUGAAGAUGAAUGUCUCCUGGAAUGCUGCGCCGUCCAGCCUGGUAGAAACUGACCAACUUUCCGACGUGACUACUGCCUGUGUUGAUGUUCAACGAAGCUUCAAAAAAGCGUUUAAACCCAGUACAUACAGAAACGCGGCACUUGUGGGAAAUGUACUGGACUGUACUGAAGUGACUCAGGGCACGGUCCAGUGGCUUUCUGCGAGCCUGGUGAUGAAACGUCGGGUUCAGUAAAAUCAAGCAAACUCAAUCACCCGAGCAACUACAGCCUUUUCCAAGAUCGGAUACAAAACUACUACAGCGACAAUAAACAACAGAUAUAAUCCAGUACUCAAGAAAAGGAGUUUCAUUUGUAAUUCGUUAAACGUACAUCGGGUCGAAAAGGUUUCAAAUGACCGACAUCAGCUGUGCUGAGUGGUAUAUAAACUAGCUCCAUGUGGCCAGAGAAAGCCAGCCAGAAUGACAUACACGACCUCUAUGAAUUCACUUUCUGCGCUCCGCAAGGAAAUCGAAUAGAAAUAAGGGUAUCAGCGGAAUAGCUUAUAAGUUAGAUCCAGACACUGAGAGAUAGGGUUCGAAUCCCACUCACGACAUGGAUGUUCGUCCGCAUUUUUUCAGUGUUCUUCUGUCCUGUGUCAGCACAAGCCUUUCGACGGGAUGAUCGGCCGUCACGGAGUCCUACCUAACGUCUAAACGGUUCCGUAAUUUCAAAAACAACUCUAAGCAGCAGAAUAAAAGCUGCUGUAAUAACAAAAAUGCUUAUUUGUCUUACAAACAGGUAUUCUCGUCUACCUCUGUACAUGCUAUUUACCGUCGGCUGUCGAAUGCUCUGUCAGGACAACCCUUUCAACCCGUUUCCGGGCUAAGAUCUGAACCUGGUACCCCCUGGAUACAAAGCAGGGUUGUUAAUUACUCGGCCGAGACGUUCUGUAACUGAUGGUUACAUAACGAAGGGCGGAGUGGAGGUGAAGUCAAUUCUCAUUAGCUAAUGUAGAAUGCAACAUUUUAAUGGAUUUUUUCAC